CGUGAGGGAAAGGCGAAAAGAACCCCGGCGAGGGGAGUGAAAAAGAACCUGAAACCGUGUACGUACAAGCAGUGGGAGCACAGGUUUACCUGUGUGACUGCGUACCUUUUGUAUAAUGGGUCAGCGACUUAUAUUCUGUAGCAAGGUUAACCGUAUAGGGGAGCCGUAGGGAAACCGAGUCUUAACCGGGCGUUAAGUUGCAGGGUAUAGACCCGAAACCCGGUGAUCUAGCCAUGGGCAGGUUGAAGGUUGGGUAACACUAACUGGAGGACCGAACCGACUAAUGUUGAAAAAUUAGCGGAUGACCUGUGGCUGGGGGUGAAAGGCCAAUCAAACCGGGAGAUAGCUGGUUCUCCCCGAAAGCUAUUUAGGUAGCGCCUCGUGAAUUCAUCUCCGGGGGUAGAGCACUGUUUCGGCUAGGGGGCCAUCCCGGCUUACCAACCCGAUGCAAACUGCGAAUACCGGAGAAUGUUAUCACGGGAGACACACGGCGGGUGCUAACGUCCGUCGUGAAGAGGGAAACAACCCAGACCGCCAGCUAAGGUCCCAAAGUCAUGGUUAAGUGGGAAACGAUGUGGGAAGGCCCAGACAGCCAGGAUGUUGGCUUAGAAGCAGCCAUCAUUUAAAGAAAGCGUAAUAGCUCACUGGUCGAGUCGGCCUGCGCGGAAGAUGUAACGGGGCUAAACCAUGCACCGAAGCUGCGGCAGCGAACGUAUCACCCAAGACAACUUUACGGAGUUGACGAUUGACGGAGCGAAGCGACGUCAAAGCGUUCAUUAAAGUCGAGUUGGCUUAGGGAUACGUUCGUUGGGUAGGGGAGCGUUCUGUAAGCCUGUGAAGGUGUGUCGUGAGGCAUGCUGGAGGUAUCAGAAGUGCGAAUGCUGACAUAAGUAACGAUAAAGCGGGUGAAAAGCCCGCUCGCCGGAAGACCAAGGGUUCCUGUCCAACGUUAAUCGGGGCAGGGUGAGUCGACCCCUAAGGCGAGGCCGAAAGGCGUAGUCGAUGGGAAACGGGUUAAUAUUCCCGUACUUGGUGUUACUGCGAAGGGGGGACGGAGAAGGCUAUGUUGGCCGGGCGACGGUUGUCCCGGUUUAAGCGUGUAGGUGUGUGUUCCAGGUAAAUCCGGUUCACUUUAACACUGAGGCGUGACGACGAGGCACUACGGUGCUGAAGCAACAAAUGCCCUGCUUCCAGGAAAAGCCUCUAAGCAUCAGGUAACAC
rnacentral:rRNA from 1 species